rnacentral:tRNA from 1 species
GGAGAGGUGGCUGAGCGGUUGAAAGCACUGGUCUUGAAAACCAGCAGUGGGGCAACUCACUCGUGGGUUCAAAUCCCACCCUCUCCG